AUUUAAUAAAAUUGGUGAUGAUUUUGAUGUAGUGGAGAAAGAGUCCCACCACUUUAUGAGAUGAGUGGUUGAGAUUGAAUUUUGAGUGUUUUUUUUUUUUAAAUAAAGAGUGUUAGUAAGGAUAAAAUAUUAAAGAGGAUGGUGGGACCAUUGCCAUAAAAGGAAAGUGACAUAAUCUUGGCGGACGUUCGAUAUAGUAAUUGUGACAUAAUCUUGGCGGACGGAGGGAGUAGCUUUUAGGAUCAGACUUUAAUAUGAAACAGAGGUGUGUCAGCAAGCAAAUCUCCAUCUAUU
rnacentral:lncRNA from 1 species